AUUGAACGCUGGCGGCAUGCCUUACACAUGCAAGUCGAACGGCAGCGCGGGGGCAACCCUGGCGGCGAGUGGCGAACGGGUGAGUAAUAUAUCGGAACGUACCCAAGAGUGGGGGAUAACGUAGCGAAAGUUACGCUAAUACCGCAUACGAUCUAAGGAUGAAAGCAGGGGACCGCAAGGCCUUGUGCUCCUGGAGCGGCCGAUAUCUGAUUAGCUAGUUGGUGGGGUAAAGGCCUACCAAGGCAUCGAUCAGUAGCUGGUCUGAGAGGACGACCAGCCACACUGGGACUGAGACACGGCCCAGACUCCUACGGGAGGCAGCAGUGGGGAAUUUUGGACAAUGGGGGGCAACCCUGAUCCAGCAAUGCCGCGUGAGUGAAGAAGGCCUUCGGUUGUAAGCUCUUUGUCAGGGAGAACGGUUAGUGGCUAAUAUCCAUGGCUAAUGACGGUACCUGAAGAAUAAGCACCGGCUAACUACGUGCCAGCAGCCGCGGUAAU
rnacentral:rRNA from 1 species